CCGUGGAGUCACCAGAGAGGUAGGAAAUGGGUAUAUCUGCACUUCGUAGGGGAAGAAGCAUGAGGCCCCCUCUAGUGAGCUUUAAUCGAGCACCCUCGGCAAUUGGCUCGUCGUUGCGGUUUGCCGUCCAUAUGACGGUCUUAUCUGAGACAAGCCAUGCUCCAACGGCAAAGCCGCUGCCUGCUGCCGCUGCGAAAAAUCCAAAGGCGAACAUGCGGGACUGGGACAGCCAGGGACUGGUGUUGGUGGCGAUCCAAUCAUCCAAACUUAUUGCAGGUCCUUGCUGGCCUACUCCGAGCGCCAUUGCAUAUGCGAAGAUGAAGAUCACGGAGGCCAACUUUGAAAUCAUUGGGGUGUGAAGAAGGGAGAGUGGGGAUUCACUGAGCUGGGGAUGCUCUUGUGCGCACCAAUGAUUGUUUGAAG
rnacentral:lncRNA from 1 species